rnacentral:rRNA from 1 species
GGGCCCGCACAAGCGGUGGAGCAUGUGGUUUAAUUCGAUGAUACGCGAGGAACCUUACCAGGGCUUAAAUGUAGAUUGCAUAAGCUAGAGAUAGCUUUUUCUUCGGACUAUCUACAAGGUGCUGCAUGGUUGUCGUCAGCUCGUGCCGUGAGGUGUCAGGUUAAGUCCUAUAACGAGCGCAACCCCUGUCGUUAGUUGCCAACAGGUUAUGCUGGGAACUCUAACGAGACUGCCGGUGCAAACUGAGAGGAAGGUGGGGACGACGUCAAAUCAUCACGGCCCUUACGUCCUGGGCUACACACGUGCUACAAUGGUCGGUACAGAGAGCAGCCACCUUGCGAAAGGGAGCAAAUCUUUAAAACCGGUCUCAGUUCGGAUCGCAGUCUGCAACUCGACUGCGUGAAGCUGGAAUCGCUAGUAAUCGCAUAUC